CACCCCUGGGGCGCGCGGCUGUCACCCAGGGCGGGGCGGCGCGGGCGUUGCCACGACGCGGGCCGCGCGCGUCCCUGGCAGCCAACCCGUCCACGUCAAGGUUUGUUUAAUAAUCGCCAGGGUAUCUAUGGCCGGGCUCAGGCGGCUGCUGGGGAGCCAGGAGACCGCGCGGGACGGCGGAUGAGGCGCGGCGGCUGCGGCCCAGGGCACCUCCCCUCUGGCUUCCCGAACCCGGCCAGGUCAGACCCGAGGGAGAGGAUGGAAACACCUGCCGCGCUCUGAGCCCCCCAGAAGAGAACACCCUUCCCGCCAUAUCACCCCACGGUCCUGCGGAGGCCACCGCCUGGUCCCCCCAAGUCUCCAUCGCGCAGCGUGGGGCCGAGAGGAAUAGUGAGCGAUGGCGGAAAACCUGAAAAGACUGGUCUCAAACGAAACUUUACGAACGUUGCAGGAAAAGCUAGACUUCUGGCUGAAGGAGUACAACACAAACACGUGUGAUCAAAAUCUAAACCAUUGCCUUGAACUCAUUGAGCAAGUUGCCAAGGUGCAGGGACAACUCUUUGGGAUCCUCACAGCAGCAGCCCAAGAAGGAGGACGUAAUGAUGGUGUGGAAACAAUCAAGUCACGCCUUUUGCCUUGGCUGGAGGCUUCCUUUACUGCUGCUUCCAUGGGAAAAUCUGUUGACAGCAAGGUCCCCUCUCUGCAGGACACGUUUGAUAGGGAGAGACAUAAAGAUCCCAGUCCUCGGGAUCGGGAUAUGCAACAGUUAGACUCUAAUUUGAACUCAACCCGGAGUCAACUCAACCAGGUUCAAGACGAUCUGGCUGAAACUGAAAAGAAUCUUGAAGAAAGCAAGAACAGAUCGGCCAUAUCCCUUUUGGCUGCAGAGGAGGAAAUAAAUCAGCUGAAAAAGCAGCUUAAAUCUCUUCAAGCUCAGGAGGAUGCCCGCCACAGAAACACAGAUCAGAGGAGCUCAGAGAAUAGGCGGUCAGAGCCUCGGAGCUUGGAGGAGCGGAAGUGUGAGCAGUGGAACUCACUCAAGCAGAAUUCAGACCAGCAGGACACAGAAGCCAUGUCCGAUUAUAAGAAACAGCUCCGAAACCUGAAGGAGGAGAUAGCUGUUCUGUCUGCUGAGAAAAGUGCACUCCAAGGAAGGUCCUCCAGGAGCCGGUCUCCCAGCCCUGCCCCUCGCAGCCGUAGCUGCAGCCGCAGCAGAUCUGCCAGCCCCUCCACCGCUGUCAAGGUCAGGAGCCCGUCCCCAAACCGCUCCAGGCUGUCCAAUGUGGCGCGCAAGGCUGCCCUCUUGUCCCGGUUCAGAGAUUCCUAUUCCCAGGCCCGCCUGGACGCGCAGUGCCUGCUGCGGCGCUGCAUCGACAAGGCUGAGACCGUUCAGCGGAUCAUCUACAUCGCCACAGUGGAGGCUUUCCAUGUAGCAAAAAUGGCAUUCAGACACUUCAAGAUCCGUGUGAGAAAAUCGUUGACACCAUCUUACGUGGGGUCGAAUGACUUUGAGAAUGCUGUCUUGGAUUAUGUCAUUUGUCAUCUUGAUCUAUAUGAUUCUCAAAGCAGUGUCAAUGAUGUGAUCCGAGCCAUGAAUGUCAAUCCCAAGAUUUCAUUCCCUCCUGUCGUUGACUUUUGCCUUCUCAGUGACUUCAUCCAGGAGAUAUGUUGCAUUGCCUUUGCAAUGCAGGCCUUAGAACCACCCCUAGAUAUUGCAUAUGGGGCAGAUGGAGAAGUUUUUAAUGAUUGCAAGCCAGGCUUCUCAAAGUAUGAUGUGUGGAUCACCUGCAUCAGAAUUACUCAAGAUACCGCCGCAGCUACGACUCGGAUUUCACUGCUCCCUUAGUCCUCUAUCACGUGUGGCCUGCUCUCAUGGAGAAUGACUGUGUCAUUAUGAAGGGAGAAGCUGUCACCAGGAGAGGGGCUUUUGUACGGUGGCCUUGCAUAGUGACAAUUCAUCCCAAGUGUUUGAUUCACAAUGGAAUUCGGUGCGAUCUCUAAGUCGUUGUCGAAGCAGGAGUUUAAGUCCCAUUUGCCCACGUAGCCAAAUUGGUUUAAACACGAUGUCUCGAAGUCGGAGUCCUUCUCCAAUAAGAUGUGGAUUGCCAAGAUUUUAAAAGCACCAGACCUGCUCCUUUGACCCAGUGCGUGGAAACAGCUGCUUUCUCCAGUGCCGCCAUCUGUCUUCUGUGUCUGCCUCAGACCUCACUUAAGAUAAUGUCAAAAGGCAAUUCUGUGUAUCACCCCACACAGAGAGUUAAAUGUUUUGGCUUGGCGCAUUUGUAACUUUA